UGCUUAGCAAUGACAAGCUCACAGACAUU
rnacentral:piRNA from 1 species